rnacentral:misc_RNA from 1 species
GCAAACUUGGUCAUUUAGAGGAAGUAAAAGUCGUAACAAGGUUUCCGUAGGUGAACCUGCGGAAGGAUCAUUACGAGAACUCGCUUCUUUGGAGCGACUCUCCCAACCCUAUGAUUACGUUACAUUGUUGCUUUGGUGGGCCACAAGGUUGCCCUGCACUGGCUUUUUGCGAGUGAGUGUCCGCCAGAGAAAACUUCUACUCUGAUUUUUAUACUGUUGUCUGAGUUAUAAAAUAUAUAAUCAUUAAAACUUUCAACAACGGAUCUCUUGGUUCUGGCAUCGAUGAAGAACGCAGC